UACGUAGGCAGCAAGCGUUGUUCGGAAUUACUGGGCGUAAAGAGUGUGUAGGCGGUGCUCCAAGUCUGGUGUGAAAUCUCCCGGCUUAACUGGGAGGGUGCAUUAGAAACUGGAGUGCUAGAGGAUGGGAGAGGUAAGCGGAAUUCCUGGUGUAGCGGUGAAAUGCGUAGAUAUCAGGAGGAACACCUGUGGUGUAGACAGCUUACUGGACCAUUUCUGACGCUGAGACACGAAAGCUAGGGGAGCAAACGGG
rnacentral:rRNA from 1 species